GACGAACGCUGGCGGCGUGCUUAACACAUGCAAGUCGAACGGAAAGGCCCUGCUUUUGUGGGGUGCUCGAGUGGCGAACGGGUGAGUAACACGUGAGUAACCUGCCCUUGACUUUGGGAUAACUUCAGGAAACUGGGGCUAAUACCGGAUAGGAGCUCCUGCUGCAUGGUGGGGGUUGGAAAGUUUCGGCGGUUGGGGAUGGACUCGCGGCUUAUCAGCUUGUUGGUGGGGUAGUGGCUUACCAAGGCUUUGACGGGUAGCCGGCCUGAGAGGGUGACCGGCCACAUUGGGACUGAGAUACGGCCCAGACUCCUACGGGAGGCAGCAGUGGGGAAUAUUGCACAAUGGGCGGAAGCCUGAUGCAGCAACGCCGCGUGCGGGAUGACGGCCUUCGGGGUGUAAACCGCUUUCGCCUGUGACGAAGCGUGAGUGACGGUAAUGGGUAAAGAAGCCCCGGCUAACUACGUG
rnacentral:rRNA from 1 species